rnacentral:ncRNA from 1 species
UCUUAUCAAGAGAGGUGUAGGGACUGGCCUGAUGAAGCCUCAGCAACCGCAGAUAUAUUUUGAAUGGUGCUAAAUCCAGCAAAGCUUGGCUUUGAAAGAUAG